UACCACAGCCUUUUAGCAUCGGCUUCUGUGGAGCCUGCUCUCUGGCUGUGGCGGU
rnacentral:pre_miRNA from 1 species